rnacentral:rRNA from 1 species
AGACGGUAAUUGAGGAGGAAGCCCCGGCUAACUACGUGCCAGCAGCCGCGGUAAUACGUAGGGGGCAAGCGUUGUCCGGAAUGAUUGGGCGUAAAGGGCGCGUAGGCGGCCCGGUAAGUCUGGAGUGAAAGUCCUGCUUUUAAGGUGGGAAUUGCUUUGGAUACUGUCGGGCUUGAGUGCAGGAGAGGUAAGUGGAAUUCCCAGUGUAGCGGUGAAAUGCGUAGAGAUUGGGAGGAACACCAGUGGCGAAGGCGACUUACUGGACUGUAACUGACGCUGAGGCGCGAAAGUGUGGGGAGCAAACAGGAUUAGAUACCCUG